rnacentral:rRNA from 1 species
CGUGGGGAGCAAAACAGGAUUAGAUACCCCUGGUAGUCCACGCCCGUAAAACGAUGAGUGCUAAGUGUNAGGGGGUNUCCGCCCCUUAGUGCUGCAGCUAACGCAUUAAGCACUCCGCCUGGGGAGUACGGUCGCAAGACUGAAACUCAAAGGAAUUGACGGGGGCCCCGCACAAGCGGUGGAGCAUGUGGUUUAAUUCGAAGCAACGCGAAGAACCUUACCAGGUCUUGACAUCCCGCUGACCGGCCUAGAGAUAGGCUUUUCCCUUCGGGGACAGCGGUGACAGGUGGUGCAUGGUUGUCGUCAGCUCGUGUCGUGAGAUGUUGGGUUAAGUCCCGCAACGAGCGCAACCCUUGAUCUUAGUUGCCAGCAUUCAGUUGGGCACUCUAAGGUGACUGCCGGUGAUAAACCGGAGGAAGGUGGGGAUGACGUCAAAUCAUCAUGCCCCUUACGACCUGGGCUACACACGUGCUACAAUGGACGGUACAGAGGGUCGCAACCCCGCGAGGGUGAGCAAAUCCCAUAAAACCGUUCUCAGUUCGGAUUGUAGGCUGCAACUCGCCUACAUGAAGCCGGAAUCGCUAGUAAUCGUGGAUCAGCAUGCCACGGUGAAUACGUUCCCGGGCCUUGUACACACCGCCCGUCACACCACGAGAGUUUGUAACACCCGAAGUCGGUGGGGUAACCCUUACGGGAGCCAGCCGCCGAAGGUGGGACAGAUGAUUGGGGUGAAGUCGAACAA